UAGACAUGUACAAGAUUGUUUAAAUUCUGAACCGUAAAUUUGAAGUGGCAGCUUAUGCCUGUGUUCCGAAUUUCUUCUAUCUGGCGGUCACCCUGCUGUUUGGACUCAUCGUUGGCAUCUUGGCAAAGUUCAGCUUUGGACGAGCUCUCAUUCUGAAAUAUCCACACAUAUUUACCUUUGGUGUGUUCAAACAAGGAGGACCUUCAAAGAAACAGAUGGAGACAGGAACAUUUAGCAUCACAGUGGUCGGCAAGGGUUGGAAGGAGAAGCUUCCUGAUGCAGACACAGAGCAUGACACAGCCCCCGACACCCAGAUGAUUGUGCGGGUGUCGGGCCCGGAAGCGGGAUAUGUUGCCACGCCAAUUGUCAUGGUUCAGUGCGCCUGUACUCUGCUGAAGGAAAUCUCUCAAGACAAAUUUAGGGGUGGUGUGUACACAACAGCCAUGCUUUUCCGAGAAACAAACCUGAUUGAACGACUCAUCAAAAACAACAUCAAGUUUGAAGUCGUGAAAGAACAAUUCCCUCUGUGAACAAUAGAUGGGCUCAAAUUCCUGUCCAUAUGUGAACAAUAGCUGGGACCUCACUAUCAAAACUAGCUUUAUCUUUGCACUCUAAUGUCAUUUGCCAUGACAUUAUGUCAUGUGAGACUUUUGUAUGUAAUCGUCUAUUUAUACAAAUUAUGACAUGCCUUUGUAAACAAAACAAUAAAGAGUAUGUUUAUAUUACUUAAGUAAAAUAAUUGAGGCUCUUCAGAUUCAUAAGUCAUAAUUUUAUAGCUUUUUCAACCUAUGCUUUGAUGUACAACAUAAGGUACCUGUACGCUAAAUUAUACACAUUAUAUAAUUACUAAUAUAUGUAAUAUUAACUACAUGUAUAUUCUAGUAAUUAUUGCAAUCAAAAGUCACACCGUAAUUCAAAAGCUUUCUGAUCAUUUACCUUGAGUUAUAAUAUAAGCUACCUGUGUAUUCAAACAAUAUGGGCAAUCAAAAGUUCUAAUUUAAAAGCUUUCUUAAUCUAUAUAGUUUGAGAUACACUAUUUGCUUCAUGUAUAUUUUUGAUAAACCCAAAGAUAAUUGCUAGUAUCUACAUAAAUCAAGUCACAUGAUAAUUAUGAUGUAAGUGGUAAACACCGAGUCCCAGUUUUCUGUGGCUAAAUAUAGAAUGGAGGCACAGAUACAUGUGUGACAAGUACUUAAGUGCUAGAUAUUAGAUGUACAUUUUAGUAGGGGUUUCAAUAAUUUGUAUCUUAUUAGAUCUAUCGAAGAUUGGAUGCACACUUGUGAAUAAACAUGUUAAUAUUA